rnacentral:rRNA from 1 species
AUUGAACGCUGGCGGCAUGCUUUACACAUGCAAGUCGAACGGUAACAGGCCGCAAGGUGCUGACGAGUGGCGAACGGGCGAGUAAUGCAUCAGAACGUGCCCAGUCGUGGGGGAUAACUACUCGACAGAGUAGCUAAUACCGCAUCCGAUCUAUGGAUGAAAUCGGGGGACCGUAAGGCCUCGCGCGAUUGGAGCGGCCGAUGUUAGAUUAGGUAGUUGGUGGGGUAAAGGCUCACCAAGCCAACGAGCUGUAGCUGGUCUGAGAGGACGACCGGCCACACUGGGACGGGGACACGGCCCAGGCUCCUACGGGAGGCAGCAGUGGGGAAUGUUGGACAGUGGGCGCAAGCCUGAUCCAGCAAUGCCGCGUGCAGGAAGAAGGCCUUCGGGUUGUAAACUGCGUUUGUACGGAACGAAACGGCUCUGGUUAAUACCCGGGGCUAAUGACGGUACCGUAAGAAUAAGCACCGGCUAACUACGUG